rnacentral:lncRNA from 1 species
GGGGUAAGGGCCCAACUGGGAGUGGCAGUUGGGUCUUGUGACUAGCACUUCCUUCCUGCCAGGUGGGACUUGCUUCCUGGUGUUGGAGGAGAGAGGAGCUUGUUCAGCCCAGUCUGGUGUGGUGUGACGCCUCUUUCUUGGUUCAGCCUGAAGAUUCAAGCCCAAUCUCUUCUGAAGGGAGAGACACAAAAGCAUCAUGAAAUACUAUUUUGCAUUAAGAAAUGACAAGCAGGAGGAUUUGAGAAAAACCUGGAAAGACUUAUGUGAACUCAUGCAAAGUAAAAAUGAAAGAAUUCCACCCAGAUGGGACCUGAUGGUUACUUUCUUCCUAAAAUCUGACUGAGAAGCUAAGUGAAUCAAUGUCAUAACUUUAUGGUAAAAGCUGAUUGCUCACCAACUCUCUCUGUCAGAG